rnacentral:snRNA from 1 species
AUUUUUAUACUAAACUUU